rnacentral:rRNA from 1 species
CGGGCUGAGUAACGCGUAGGAACGUACCCCAAAGUGAGGGAUAAGCACCAGAAAUGGUGUCUAAUACCGCAUGUGAUCUUCGGAUUAAAGCUUUAUGCGCUUUGGGAACGGCCUGCGUCUGAUUAGCUUGUUGGUGAGGUAAUAGCUCACCAAGGCUACGAUCAGUAGCUGGUCUGAGAGGAUGAUCAGUCAGACUGGGACUGAGAACGGCCCAG